rnacentral:lncRNA from 1 species
CGCCGCCGCCGCAGCACCAUAAACCUAGCGGCGGCGAUUCCGGUUUCUUGCAAGGAUGGUACGCCUCUAUUUAUAUGCAUUUCCUUGCUUAAUUGAAUAAAUUUCUUGUGUUGAUUUGAUGUAUUUGGUGGUUUAAUUUGGGAUGUGCGUGGCUUUCAUUCCUUUCUGAUAUUGUACACAAAUCGAUUAUCUCAUUGAUGUUACACUUUAUCAAUUAAAUAUAUAUUUAGGCAGGUAUAAUUAGCUAAAAAAUCAAUUAAUAUAAUGUUGGAAAGUGGAGAUAAUAGUUGGGAGUAUUAUAUUAUGAUCUCUAAUGAAACGAGAAUAGUUGGAGAAAUUUGAUUAAGCUCUGUUUAUUUCUUAUCGUAGUGCAUUCAUGGGAUCAUUUAUGAGUAUUGGGGUUCAAUUUAUACAACAUUUCUUCUAAGUCCUAAUCUUAACUAAUUCUAAAUAACAUUAAAUGAAUUAAUUAUGUAGUCGUGGUUUGUUAAUAAACUUGUGUUGCAGUUGUGCUGCACUUUGCUGUUGUUGCCUGCUCGACGCAUGCUUCUAGUGAAGAAGAAACGUUGAAAUGAAAUGCAUGGUUGGUCGCUCUCGCUGGCAGUGAAGGCUACGCUCCUAUAUUCAUUUCCUGAUUAAUUAAUAAUCAUUGUUUAAUUUGCUAGCUCUUUCUAACAGCUUGGUUUUCAGUGUGAUUAAUUUGGAAUGGUGAGAGUUUCCAAGUGUUUUGUCUCCAGCUCAUCAUUCCAUGCUUCUUUUCUUUUCAUUUAUUUAUUUAUCAUUUAUAGCAAA